GUCCCUUCGGGGACAUCCGAUAAAAUUGGAACGAUACAGAGAUUAGCAUGGCCCCUGCACAAGGAUGACACACAUAUUGGACGUAUUCGGAGGAGAUUU